UGGGGAAUAUUGGACAAUGGGCGCAAGCCUGAUCCAGCCAUGCCGCGUGAGUGAUGAAGGCCCUAGGGUUGUAAAGCUCUUUCACCGGUGAAGAUAAUGACGGUAACCGGAGAAGAAGCCCCGGCUAACUUCGUGCCAGCAGCCGCGGUAAUACGAAGGGGGCUAGCGUUGUUCGGAUUUACUGGGCGUAAAGCGCACGUAGGCGGACUAUUAAGUCAGGGGUGAAAUCCCGGGGCUCAACCCCGGAACUGCCUUUGAUACUGGUAGUCUUGAGUUCGAGAGAGGUGAGUGGAAGUCCGAGUGUAGAGGUGAAAUUCGUAGAUAUUCGGAGGAACACCAGUGGCGAAGGCGGCUCACGGGCUCGAUACUGACGCUGAGGUGCGAAAGCGUGGGGAGCAAACAGG
rnacentral:rRNA from 1 species